rnacentral:rRNA from 1 species
UACGUAGGGGGCGAGCGUUGUCCGGAUUCAUUGGGCGUAAAGAGCUCGUAGGCGGUUUGUCGCGUCUGCUGUGAAAACCUAAGGCUCAACCUUGGGCUUGCAGUGGGUACGGGCAGACUAGAGUGCGGUAGGGGUGACUGGAAUUCCUGGUGUAGCGGUGGAAUGCGCAGAUAUCAGGAGGAACACCGAUGGCGAAGGCAGGUCACUGGGCCGCAACUGACGCU